CUGUGGUCCAUCAGCUAGUUGGUAGGGUAAUGGCUUACCAAGGCGAGGACGGAUAGGGGGCCUGAGAGGGUGACCCCCCACACGGGCACUGAGACACGGGCCCGACUCCUACGGGAGGCAGCAGUAAGGGAUAUUGCGACAAUGGGCGAAAGCCUGACGCAGCAACGCCGCGUGAAGGAUGAAGGCCUUCGGGUUGUAAACUUCUUUUCUGUGGGAAGAGGAAGGACGGUACCACAGGAAUAAGUCUCGGCUAACUACGUGCCAGCAGCCGCGGUAAAACGUAGGAGGCGAGCGUUAUCCGGAUUUACUGGGUGUAAAGCGCGUGCAGGCGGCAGCGAAAGUCGAGCGUGAAAGCUCCCGGCUCAACCGGGAGAGGACGUGCGAAACUACGCAGCUAGAGACAGGUAGAGGCGUACGGAAUUCCGGGUGUAGUGGUGAAAUGCGUAGAUAUCCGGAGGAACACCAGUGGCGAAGGCGGUACGCUGGGCCUGGUCUGACGCUAAGACGCGAAAGCAUGGGGAGCGAACGGGAUUAGAAACCCCCGGUAGUCCAUGCCGUAAACGAUGCUA
rnacentral:rRNA from 1 species